rnacentral:lncRNA from 1 species
CCGAUUAUGAAUAUCAAGAGCAUCAUCAUCAUCUUCAAGAUCAAGAAGAUGGAGGUGCAGAGAGGGAGAGGAGAUACAUACCAAGUUACAUUGUAUAACUUGAUUGCUAUUUAUAAUAACAGGUUUGACAGCUGCUAUGUGUGAGUGAUGGACAGCCUGCUUACGUUGUGCAAGGAAUGCUUGGCAACGGAGCAAUAUGUUGCACUUCUUUCAGAUAGGAUUCCUGGAUGGAUGGAAGAAAGUUCUGAUGUGAGUCUUUUGUUUCUCAGACCUCAGAAACAUCUUGAUUUGUUAGUAACCAGCAUCAUCAGUGAAGAGUUAAACCAACUUCUUUUCAACAUAUUACAGAUAAAGAGUAAAGAGGAUUCAACGGAAGCAGAAACUUCAGUUAUACUAGCACCUAAAUCUAGGUCUUUUUAAGGCCAUCAGACCACACUUGCACCUGGAAGUGGAAGGUGAUUUUGUGAAUUUGUUUAAUUAUUUAACCAACCAUAGCUAAUUUUUCAGCUCGCUUCUUUUUACGUUGUCUUUGUUUAUUGUAUUCCAGUUUUUCCGUGACAUCUUUGUACAAUGACAGCAUUCUGAUAGAACCAAAUGCCGCAGUUCAAGGGAAGAAAGGGAAAUGUGACAUAAGAAUCCCAGGUAUUUCGCAGCAAGCAGCAUGGAAAACGUGGGUAAUUAUUCAACAAAUCAUGCUUCCAGAAUCGUUUAAAGCUAUCUCUUUUAUUUUGAUUUCCUGUUUUUUAUUUCUUAUCUUCUAGCCGUUGUGGCUGCAGUUAUGGCGCCACUGCUGCUCGUGCUUCCUGUUUAGCAGGAAGAAGUUGAUGUAUUUCUCCUAUUUAAUGCAUUCUUCGAGUAUAAAUAAAGGAGGGUAUUUUUUUACAGCAAAUAUUCGAGUAAUUCUAGCCCUAAAUAGAAGCAAAUUCUUUUUCAAUUCUUCUUGGUUCUGAGUGGGACCUAACAUUGGUAUCAGAACCAUGUCUAACCAAGCCAAAGUCGGGGGAUUACAAGACAGCUUCAAUCGAAUGGAGUUGGGAGUCGCCGAUAAGCUUCACCAAAUAGAGGACACCUUCAAGCGGUUGACAGACACUCUGUUGACAAACCGCGAAGGGUCUAACAGCAACACUCCAAGUCGACGUAGACAGACGCGGCCACUUUGCGACGAUGGAACUGAAAGGAACAACAGGGGCCAUCAGCCCUUUUUCUCGAAUCUCGCAAAGCUUGAGUUCCCCACCUUUGCCGGUGACGAUCCGACCAAAUCACUCAGCCGUGUCGAGCAAUUCUUCGACUACUAAGGCAUUCCCAAUGAGCAGAAAGUGCCGCUAGCUUCUUUCCACCUAGAGAUUGAAGCUAACUAGUGGUGACAAUGGCUUCACCAGACUUACAGAGAAGAACGGAAGAUGGUGACUUGGGCUGGGUUUGAAGAAGAGAUAUGGGCCCGUUUCGAGCCAACUGAUUGUGAAGAUUUUGACGAGGCCUUAACGAGGGUGACGCAAAUCGGGCGGUUGAGGGAAUACCAAAAAGAAUUUCAAAGGUUGGGGAACAAGGGCUGUGGUUGGACCUAGAAGGCCUUAAUUUGAACUUUUAUGGGCGGACUUCAUCCCAAGAUAGCAGAUGGGAUUAGGAUGUUCAAGCCCCGGACCCUGAAGGAUGCAAUAAGUCUGUCCGUAUGCGCGAGGCGCAGUUGGGGUGUCAAGACAGGUUGGAUUGGGCGGGGCGGACUCAACCCAACCCAAAAGUGUGCUCCCCAUCUUAUCAGACCCCGCAAGCUCUAAUAGCAACAGAGCUUUUGUUCUAAUAAAAUUAUAAUUAUAUAAUAUUAUUAUUAUCAUAAAAUUUUAAUUAUAUAAUCUCAACUAAUUAAAUAGUAAAAUAUUCUACUCAACAAUUCUACUCAAGUUGGUGCAGCGAUAUCAUACAUGUCCAAUUCGCAGAUGAAGUUGUAAACCAGCAACGGACGCGCACGAAAGAGGCAGAAAAAGGAUAAAAAAAAGCUAGUCAGAACAGUUCACGCGCGGAGAAUUCGGAUCGACACCGGAUCUCAAAACUAAAGGCGAACGCACGCUGAGGAGCCGGAAAAAUGAUCAAAAAAGACUGGUGGAGUAGCUCACAUGUGGAAAAGCCAAAUUAGCGCCAGUAUCACGAAACCAUAGGGAAAAGCGUGCUAAAGAGCUAGAAAAAUGACCAAAAAGAGUGGUUGGAGUGGCUCGCAUGCGGAGGAAACAGAUCUGCACCGAUAUCGCGAAACCAGAAGUGCGUGUGGGGGAGGCAGAAAAAGGAACAGAAAAGGGUAGUCGGAACGGCUUGCACGCAGAGGAAGCAAAUCUGUCUGGCAAGGCAACAGCGAGUGGGCAGUACGUGGGCGGCAUGUGGGCAGCGUGUACGGCUUAUGCGCCUCUGCUGUUGGCUGCCGACUGGGUCGGGGAAAGGUUGUUGGUUAGUCUAUGACACUAUCUAGGUUGAUAAUGAGAGUAGAUUUGAAUAAGUGAGUACCAACUCAAUCUAUUUUAUUAUUUUAAGGUUUGAAAAAAAUUCUUAAAUUAGAAUUUUAAAAUAAUUUUAUUUGUCUCUAAUACUAUGUUAAUUUUGGA